UACGUAGGUGGCAAGCGUUGUCCGGAUUUACUGGGCGUAAAGGGCGCGUAGGCGGCCUGUUAAGUCGAACGUGAAAUCCCCGGGCUCAACCCGGGAACUGCGUCCGAUACUGGCAGGCUUGAAUCCGGGAGAGGGAUGCGGAAUUCCAGGUGUAGCGGUGAAAUGCGUAGAUAUCUGGAGGAACACCGGUGGCGAAGGCGGCAUCCUGGACCGGCAUUGACGCUGAGGAGCGAAAGCCAGGGGAGCAAACGGG
rnacentral:rRNA from 1 species